CGUGUGCGAAUGUGAACAAUUAAAAAAUAUUUCGAAAUCCAACCAAAAUUCUUUAAUAAUAACGAAUUCUUUUCUUAGUAGCAAAAGUCCAAGUUCGUUCAGAGUAGUGUGUAUCCUCAAAUUGAACCGGUUUCAUAAUGUUACUGAGUCUUAUUUUACCGUCCCUGGGUAGAAUGUAAGGCGAGGUUAAUCCCUGAUGGAAUAGUUGUCAUAAUUAUCAUUUCUUUCCAAAGAAUUGAAGUGGAGUUUGACCGUUGUUUGUAAUUACGCAAAGAACAAGGUGUAAGAUUUACGUUUUUUUUCUUCUCAACGGCUUUCGUUGGUAAGCUAGCAAGCGAAGUGAAGUAAAAGUAGCAUCGAGAAUCGAAACCUUAGCUAGCAGACGAAACAGCUAAGGAAGCCUCUAAGUCGUAACAAGGUUUGCUAAAAAUAACAGCAAUAUUUCCUCCAUAUCACACCAUACUUUCUUAGAGAAGGAAGGGCACAUUAGAUAUAAUUCACGCUUUAGAUUCAGAAUGUCUGAGGAAAAAAAUCGAAUGGAUGGUCUUGACGGGAACGUCAAUGAUGAUAAGUCUUGUUGGUCCAGUGCUGACCUCCUGGGGUUAUAUAACAUCAACAUGGCGUGUGGAUUCGUUGAUAGGGAAUUCAUUAAAUAAAUAGAAUUUGUUUGUUUACAUCAGCAUGAAAUGAAAACUGCGAUUCUUAAAGGGAAACGGGGGACUUUGUGAUGCACGUGCCUUUUCUUACAGACGACGUUAACGAUAUGUAUGAAGGGAAAUAGUUUCGAUCGAGAAUCGAUACCGUGUCGUGAUAGAUCGGUUCGCCGUAAACUAAUGCGAAAAUAAUCAUACAACAAGAACAAUUAAUCAUUUAAGUGUUAGGCGACUGUUUAUCACUAUUUAAGCGGCCCCACAACCCCUGUGACCCCACUAACCGAAAACAUGGCCUCCAUCAAGACAUGUGAAAAUUCAAUUGCUGUUCUAAGCGGAAAACAAAUUAAGCUGUUCGAUAUUCGGUGAUUGUAAAGGAAUCUUGCCGAAGACUCUUUGAGAAAGAGAGAUUGGUUGGUGCUCUCUCUCUCUUUUGGAAUAGGGACAUAACUGAAAGACCAGAAGUGGAAUUAAUCAACGGCGCUUUCUUUGUUACUCAGUCGGAUCUGCUGACAAAGAAAUCGGAAGAUUUUUUUUUUUUUUUUUGGAAACAUUAAAACAAAAGCAAAAUAAACAAAACACUU